GCCUAAUACAUGCAAGUCGAGCGAACGGACGAGAAGCUUGCUUCUCUGAUGUUAGCGGCGGACGGGUGAGUAACACGUGGAUAACCUACCUAUAAGACUGGGAUAACUUCGGGAAACCGGAGCUAAUACCGGAUAAUAUUUUGAACCGCAUGGUUCAAAAGUGAAAGACGGUCUUGCUGUCACUUAUAGAUGGAUCCGCGCUGCAUUAGCUAGUUGGUAAGGUAACGGCUUACCAAGGCAACGAUGCAUAGCCGACCUGAGAGGGUGAUCGGCCACACUGGAACUGAGACACGGUCCAGACUCCUACGGGAGGCAGCAGUAGGGAAUCUUCCGCAAUGGGCGAAAGCCUGACGGAGCAACGCCGCGUGAGUGAUGAAGGUCUUCGGAUCGUAAAACUCUGUUAUUAGGGAAGAACAUAUGUGUAAGUAACUGUGCACAUCUUGACGGUACCUAAUCAGAAAGCCACGGCUAACUACGUGCCAGCAGCCGCGGUAAUACGUAGGUGGCAAGCGUUAUCCGGAAUUAUUGGGCGUAAAGCGCGCGUAGGCGGUUUUUUAAGUCUGAUGUGAAAGCCCACGGCUCAACCGUGGAGGGUCAUUGGAAACUGGAAAACUUGAGUGCAGAAGAGGAAAGUGGAAUUCCAUGUGUAGCGGUGAAAUGCGCAGAGAUAUGGAGGAACACCAGUGGCGAAGGCGACUUUCUGGUCUGUAACUGACGCUGAUGUGCGAAAGCGUGGGGAUCAAACAGGAUUAGAUACCCUGGUAGUCCACGCCGUAAACGAUGAGUGCUAAGUGUUAGGGGGUUUCCGCCCCUUAGUGCUGCAGCUAACGCAUUAAGCACUCCGCCUGGGGAGUACGACCGCAAGGUUGAAACUCAAAGGAAUUGACGGGGACCCGCACAAGCGGUGGAGCAUGUGGUUUAAUUCGAAGCAACGCGAAGAACCUUACCAAAUCUUGACAUCCUUUGACAACUCUAGAGAUAGAGCCUUCCCCUUCGGGGGACAAAGUGACAGGUGGUGCAUGGUUGUCGUCAGCUCGUGUCGUGAGAUGUUGGGUUAAGUCCCGCAACGAGCGCAACCCUUAAGCUUAGUUGCCAUCAUUAAGUUGGGCACUCUAAGUUGACUGCCGGUGACAAACCGGAGGAAGGUGGGGAUGACGUCAAAUCAUCAUGCCCCUUAUGAUUUGGGCUACACACGUGCUACAAUGGACAAUACAAAGGGCAGCGAAACCGCGAGGUCAAGCAAAUCCCAUAAAGUUGUUCUCAGUUCGGAUUGUAG
rnacentral:rRNA from 1 species